rnacentral:rRNA from 1 species
GAGUUUGAUCGUGGCUCAAGAUGAACGCUGGCGGCGUGCUUAACACAUGCAAGUCGAGCGAAGCGUAUUUGCGGAAGUUUUCGGAUGGAAGCGGAUGCGACUUAGCGGCGGACGGGUGAGUAACGCGUGGGUAACCUGCCUCAUACAGGGGGAUAACAGUUAGAAAUGACUGCUAAUACCGCAUAAGCGCACAGGACCGCAUGGUCCGGUGUGAAAAACUCCGGUGGUAUGAGAUGGAACCCG